CUCCUCCUCGCGGGCGAGGACGACGCCUCCGGAGUGAGCUGAGGGUGGGGGGCGGGUCAAGGCUGCUGUUGGCGGCCUGGAUGCAGGCGAUGGUGGCGGCCGGCGGGGGUCUGGCGGGCGAGGGAAGGAGCAGCAAGACUGGUGAUGGGCCAAGCGCCACCAGAGGAGGGGGAAGGGGCGACUUCGUGCUUCGCAACAACAGUUCGUGUCCAUGGUCCUCUUCCUUCCGCUUCUUUCCUUUCGUACUAAUCAGCUCAUUGUUCUUGUUCAUACCUGUAGGCCAUACAUGAUACAUGCUCAUUUUUCUUCUCUGUAUUUUUUCUUGUUUAUACCUACAGAAAAAAUUGUGGUGGUGAUGGUUGAUCUAAGUAUCAGAUUGGUUAUAUGGAAAUGGGGCUUUACUUCCGGAGAUGUUCCCAAUGAAGGAGCUUCGAGGCGAGCACUCCAAUGAUGUAGUUUUGUAUAUGGCAUAAUCUGUAGGAACCCUCUCUUAGUUUCUUUUUGUUCUUCGUUUCACUCCUGUUGAUUAGUCAACUUCAGGGUAUGUUGAAUAUGACAGUUAAUGAAGAUGAUCGGGAAAGCUCAAGGACAGCCCCUGGUUGAGGAGGCCGAGGAAAGCCCACAGUCGAGGAGGGGAUGCUCGGCACAGGUGAGCUCUUUCUUCCUCGCUUCCUCGUCUUCCCAUGGUCACAUGAGCUCCUCCCUCUAAUUCAUGUCUUUCUACUGUAUUCCUUAUUUGCAGCUAGGGUUUGGGUGGGGGUUGGUUCCAACACCGAUGAUGACAUUGGCCAACAGCGGCACAUCCCUCGAUUUCCAUAACCUCACACCAUGAGUAUGAGGUUGCAUAGGCAGCUGGAGCUUGUCCCCUGCGCCCUUCUCUGGUCGUAGAUAAAACUGUCAUGUUGCUUUAGAUUUAAGUGGCCAGGUCUUGAUAGUAGGCAUGGCUGAACGCGCCUUUUGUUGAAUUUGGACACCAUCUAUAAUAUAGCUAUUUGUUUAGGAGCUUGAACAAGUCUCGGUAUAUGUUAAUUUUGCAGAACUGAAUGUUAGCACAGAAUUGUAUGAGUCUCGGUCCAGUCAAGGUUUCUUUGUCUGCAAUUGAAAAUUAUGUGAGAACUGGGUUUUUCCUCCAAUACCCCAAUUUCAGCAGAUAUUGAAAACCUCGAGAGUUUGGUGCCAUUUGUCACGCUUGUAUACUUAAUGCUAUUCUUUGUGUCUUUAAUAAUG
rnacentral:lncRNA from 1 species